rnacentral:rRNA from 1 species
GAGUAACUUCUUACGGGGACUGGCUCUCAAAGAGGCGCACGAGAAAGAGCAAUAACCGGUCUGUGAUGCCCUACGAUGUCCGGCGCCGCACGCGUGCUACAAUGACGAUGCUAGUGAGCAUGAUUAACUUGCCCGAAAGGGUAGGUAAAACUGUUCAAUCAUCGUCGUGACUGGAAUUGGGGUUUGCAAUUAUCCCCCAUGAACCAGGAAUUCCUAGUAAGCACAAGUCAUAAGCUUGUGCUGAUUACGUCCCUGCCCUUUGUACACACCGCCCGUCGCUACUACCGAUUGAAUGGCUUAGCAAGGUCAUUGGAUUGAGUUCUUGCAGUUCACCCUGCUUGGAUUCGAGAAGAUGCCCGAACUUGGUCAUUUAGAGGAAGUAAAAGUCGUAACAAGGUUUCCGUAGGUGAACCUGCGGAAGGAUCAUUA